rnacentral:rRNA from 1 species
UACGUAGGGUGCGAGCGUUGCCCCGGAUUUAUUGGGGCGUAAAAGGGCGCGUAGGCGGCUUGGUAAGUCCGUUGUGAAAUCCCGAGGCUCAACCUCGGGUCUGCAGUCGAUACGAGCAAACUAGAGUAUUGCAGGGGAGACUGGAAUUCCUGGUGUAGCGGUGAAAUGCGCAGAUAUCAGGAGGAACACCAAUGGCGAAGGCAGCUCGCUGGAACGGAACUGACGCUGAGGCGCGAAAGCGUGGGGGAGCAAACAGG